rnacentral:misc_RNA from 1 species
CUGGUCUCCACAUUACCUUGUUAAGGAUUCUCCAACUGCCCUUUAGCUGCAAGAAUGACUUCACUGCAAGCGACCUUGCUGCCUCAUGAAUUGUAUUGAAAGUGGACACUGAAUCUGAUUGUUCNNNNCCAUCAGGAGUUAUGAGCCAUGGAAGUAGAGGAUAACUAACUCCACCAACAAUAUAUUCUCUGAUCUCAACUCCUUCAGCUAAUUUUCUUAGACUUCCAUUCAAACGUUCUCCAUUCUCACAGAGUUUAA